UGUUAGGGUCUAAUCUAGA
rnacentral:siRNA from 1 species